rnacentral:rRNA from 1 species
CUACGGGAGGCAGCAGUAGGGAAUCUUCCGCAAUGGACGAAAGUCUGACGGAGCAACGCCGCGUGAGUGAUGAAGGUUUUCGGAUCGUAAAGCUCUGUUGUUAGGGAAGAACAAGUGCGAGAGUAACUGCUCGCACCUUGACGGUACCUAACCAGAAAGCCACGGCUAACUACGUGCCAGCAGCCGCGGUAAUACGUAGGUGGCAAGCGUUGUCCGGAAUUAUUGGGCGUAAAGGGCUCGCAGGCGGUUUCUUAAGUCUGGUGUGAAAGCCCCCGGCUCAACCGGGGAGGGUCAUUGGAAACUGGGAAACUUGAGUGCAGAAGAGGAGAGUGGAAUUCCACGUGUAGCGGUGAAAUGCGUAGAGAUGUGGAGGAACACCAGUGGCGAAGGCGACUCUCUGGUCUGUAACUGACGCUGAGGAGCGAAAGCGUGGGGAGCGAACAGGAUUAAAUACCCUGGUAGUCCACGCCGUAAACGAUGAGUGCUAAGUGUUAGGGGGUUUCCGCCCCUUAGUGCUGCAGCUAACGCAUUAAGCANUCCGCCUGGGGAGUACGGUCGCAAGACUGAAACUCAAAGGAAUUGACG